rnacentral:rRNA from 1 species
CGAACGGGUGAGUAAUAUAUCGGAACGUAUCCAAUAAUGGGGGAUAACUAGUCGAAAAAUUAGCUAAUACCGCAUACGCCCUGAGGGGGAAAGCUGGGGAUCUUCGGACCUAGCGUUAAUGGAGCGGCCGAUACCUGAUUAGCUAGUAGGUGAGGUAAGAGCUCACCUAGGCGACGAUCAGUAGCUGGUCUGAGAGGACGACCAGCCACACUGGAACUGAGACACGGUCCAG